rnacentral:lncRNA from 1 species
UUUAUUACUUCUAAUAAUACAUUUGAGAACAGAUGAGAACUUAUCUAAUCUCGGGAGCGAUAACAGUGAGUAUCGUCUCAACCAACAGGCUGGAAACUCUCCAAGCAUCGCAGAAAAUGGUAAAUCAAUGCAAGAUGCAAGUUUGGACAGUUUUCAUAUAGAAGCACGCGAAACCCAUCGGAUCGUCGACACAACCAACCGCUCCGAGCUCCGACUAGCAGCGAUGAUGGCAAAGGGCAAGCUGUGGUUCUGCGGUGGAGAAUGACCGAACAAGCAGAUCGUUUUGAAGGUGAGGAUAGUGGCGGGCCAGAAUCG